rnacentral:misc_RNA from 1 species
GAUGAAGAACGUAGCGAAAUGCGAUAAGUAAUGUGAAUUGCAGAAUUCAGUGAAUCAUCGAAUCUUUGAACGCACCUUGCACCCUUUGGUAUUCCGAAGGGUACGCCCGUUUGAGUGUCAUUGUAAUCUCACUCCAAUAUCUUUUUGUUGUUGGAUGUGGACUUGGAUGUUGUUGUGUUCACGACUCGUCUGAAAUGCCUGAGUGUACCCUGCUUUGCAGCGUAUCAGUGUGAUAAACAUCUUCACUGUUAAGUCCUCUUGGACACGCUUUGUAUUGUGGGCUCUAUGCUUCCAACUGUCUCUUGGAGACAAUCCCUGACAAUUUGACCUCAAAUCGGGUGGGACUACCCGCUGAACUUAAGCAUAUCAAUAAGCGGAGGA